rnacentral:rRNA from 1 species
AGCCGAAUUAAGGUGAACCGCGAAAGGCUCAUUAAAUCAGUUAUGGUUCCUUAGAUCGUACCCACAUUUACUUGGAUAACUGUGGUAAUUCUAGAGCUAAUACAUGCAAACAGAGUUCCGACCGGAGACGGAAGGAGCGCUUUUAUUAGAUCAAAACCAAUCGGCGUCGGGUUCGCGCCCGUCGUCGUACCCACUGGUGAAUCUGAAUAACUUUCUGCUGAUCGCAUGGUCUAGCACCGGCGACGCAUCUUUCAAAUGUCUGCCUUAUCAACUGUCGAUGGUAGGUUCUGCGCCUACCAUGGUUGUAACGGGUAACGGGGAAUCAGGGUUCGAUUCCGGAGAGGGAGCCUGAGAAACGGCUACCACAUCCAAGGAAGGCAGCAGGCGCGCAAAUUACCCACUCCCGGCACGGGGAGGUAGUGACGAAAAAUAACGAUACGGGACUCAUCCGAGGCCCCGUAAUCGGAAUGAGUACAAUCUAAACCCUUUAACGAGGAUCAAUUGGAGGGCAAGUCUGGUGCCAGCAGCCGCGGUAAUUCCAGCUCCAAUAGCGUAUAUUAAAGUUGUUGCGGUUAAAAAGCUCGUAGUCGAAUUUGUGUCCCGCGCCGCCGGUUCAUCGCACGCGGUGUUUAACUGGCGUGUCCGCGGGACGUCCUGCCGGUGGGCUUACUCGCAAGGGUGGUGGCCCAACGCAAUCCCACCGCGGUGCUCUUGAUUGAGUGUCGAGGUGGGCCGGCACGUUUACUUUGAACAAAUUAGAGUGCUUAAAGCAGGCUAAAAUUUCGCCUGAAUACCGUGUGCAUGGAAUAAUGGAAUAGGACCUCGGUUCUAUUUUGUUGGUUUUCGGAACCCCGAGGUAAUGAUUAAUAGGAACGGAUGGGGGCAUUCGUAUUGCGACGUUAGAGGUGAAAUUCUUGGAUCGUCGCAAGACGAACAGAAGCGAAAGCAUUUGCCAAAAACGUUUUCAUUGAUCAAGAACGAAAGUUAGAGU